rnacentral:rRNA from 1 species
GAUGAACGCUAGCGGCAGGCUUAAUACAUGCAAGUCGUGGGGCAGCGCGGGGUAGCAAUACUCUGGCGGCGACCGGCAAACGGGUGCGGAACACGUACAGAACCUUCCUUCGAGCGGGGAAUAGCCCAGAGAAAUUUGGAUUAAUACCCCAUAGUAUAGCGGAGUGGCAUCACUCUGUUAUUAAAGAUUUAUCACUUGAAGAUGGCUGUGCGGCUGAUUAGGUAGUUGGCGGGGUAACGGCCCACCAAGCCUGCGAUCAGUAACUGGUGUGAGAGCACGACCAGUCACACGGGCACUGAGACACGGGCCCGACUCCUACGGGAGGCAGCAGUAAGGAAUAUUGGUCAAUGGACGAAAGUCUGAACCAGCCAUGCCGCGUGAAGGAUGAAGGUCCUCUGGAUUGUAAACUUCUUUUAUAUGGGACGAAAAAAGGCUUUUCUAAGUCGUCUGACGGUACCAUUUGAAUAAGCACCGGCUAACUCCGUGCCAGCCGCCGCGGUAAAAC